UACGGAAGGUCCGGGCGUUAUCCGGAUUUAUUGGGUUUAAAGGGAGCGUAGGCUGUCUAUUAAGCGUGUUGUGAAAUUUACCGGCUCAACCGGUAGCUUGCAGCGCGAACUGGUCGACUUGAGUAUGCAGGAAGUAGGCGGAAUUCAUGGUGUAGCGGUGAAAUGCUUAGAUAUCAUGACGAACUCCGAUUGCGCAGGCAGCUUACUGUAGCAUAACUGACGCUGAUGCGCGAAAGUGCGGGUAUCAAACAGG
rnacentral:rRNA from 1 species